rnacentral:lncRNA from 1 species
CAAUCUUGAAACCAACAAAGAAAGGAAUCACUUUAAGUCUGCUGGAAUGGAAGACAUAAAUUGAUGUGAUACUGGAAAUAAAGAAAGCCGUACCAGAAGUGAACACAAUGAUUCCCUGUUGGCAGACGCAUGACAACCAGGAGGGGUUAUGGAAUUGUAGUGAAUGUUUCGGUCAUUGUCCUGAAUAUCUUAAUAAUAUGUAAUAUGUAUGUGUAAGAUGAUGAUGAUGUAUGAUUCUAUAUAUUAAAAGAAAAAAAGAGAAAAAGAAGCAUAAAAGAAGAGAAAAAAAGGGAAAACAGUCUUACUCGAAAUGAUAACACCCGAUUGCGAUGCUAUAUGGAUAAUAAAGAGCUUGAUACAUGGAAACACGAGUUGAUUUCAUGGUUUUGUGAGAAAGGUUAAUAAUAGGGAGUUUUAAGCAAGAACAUAAUAACGAUGACAUAUAAAGACUAUUUGGAGAAGAUAUAUUACAACCCCAACACCCAGGAUCAGGUGUAAAAAAUAUAUAAGGCAGUGCGGAAUGAAGGGAAGUAUGUACUAGGAAAAACCAAAAUUAGAAAAUGGUUGGAAACACAAGACACGUUUGGUCUUCAUCGCCAAGUGAAUAGAAAAUUUCCUCGAGCUCAAGUAAUCUCACCAUAUAUCGACUACCAAUGGGACAUUGACACUGCUGUGUACACAACACACUAAAGACAGUGAUGGAUAUGCCUACUUUGUACUAGCGAUUAAGGUCUUCUCUCGAUUCAUAUGGACA